CCGGAAGUAAUAAGCCUGGAGCUGCCAGGAGCCGGUGUGUAGGGAGGGCAGUGCCAGAGCGAAGCAAACCAGAGACAGGCCAGCCUGCAAACUGAAGAGAGGCCAGGUCCUGGGGACAUGGAGGAGCCACGAGGCUUUGGCCUGCUUGCCUCCUAAAGAGCAAGAUGUCAGAAGGAAGGCAGCACCGAAGAUGUGCAAAUGAAGGGCGGAGAAAGAGAAAACUCCUGGCCAGGGGAUGGAGAUCUGCGUUGUACCAUGGAUCCAGUUAUACCUGAGACAAGUUACCACUGGGCUUUGCAGUGUGAGUCAAUAAACUUCCCCCUCUGGGCCAAGCAAGACUGACUGUGAGUAGGAGCAGUGAUCGCCCAGGGCUGGGGGCCAACUCUGGUCUGAGGCUAGGAGUGUUUCUGAGGAACAUGGAAGGGACAGGGCUGGACAGGCUGGCCCCAUCUUUGCUGCCCCUGCCCUGGCUGCUGAGUGUGCCUGUGAAUGCAACACUCCCAGCCUUGGACAAGCAGAGCAGACAAGUGGAUUCACCUCCAUAGGGUGGUGGCAGGAAAGAGUAUCUGAGGCCACCAGCGAGGUUCCCCGAGUCCAGUGGCAACUGCAGCUUCCACGGCCUCUGUGCCUCACCAGCCGCCCUGUGGCCAGACUUGGAGGCUGUGGUCUGGCUGCCUCUCUAGUGUCUGCCUAGUUCUCGGGUCUGGUUUGGGUUCCCUCUAUCCUGCUGCAGAGAGAGGCGGUGUCUGCUGCUGAGGCCUGGGACAAAGAAACCCAAGCCUUUGUGCCCUUUGCCUGGGGGAGCUGCCCCUGGCUCCAGGCUGGGGAUAUGGGCAGCUGGGUUUGGGCUGGCAAACUUCCACUCGGAGUGGGCAUUCUGCAAAUGCAGCUUCCUUGACACACCAGGCAGAGUGCUGGCAUAUUUUAGGGACUCUGGGAAUCGGGAAGGGAGAGCAGUCUGCCCAAAGGCACUGGCUUUGUGUCCAGCCCCAGGAGUCUGAGGCCAGAGACUGCUCCUCCCAGGGCCACAGCUAGGAGGUAAGGCUGACCCCAGCAAGCUCCUGGCUCUUGAACAAGAUGCUUGUUUCAUCACAGAGAGGCCUCCAGAGUCCACCUGACAUCGACCACCUUGAUCCACCAGGGGUGGUGGAACCCAGCAGCGACAUUGACACGAAGCCACCGGGAAAAGGCCUGGCGGGAGCUGGCUACAAUGUUGAUGAAUUGUGGCAAGAAUUGAAUCCAUUCUCUUUAUAUAGCAGACCUCAGAAGCCACAAACCCAGGCAUUAAAGCCCGGGGUUGUGCCACUGGACUCUAAGGUUCAAAUCCCAGCUCUACCAGUUACCAGCUGUGAACAGGGCCCUGGGAAGGCUCCUAUAUCUGUCUCUGGCUCUGCUUCCCAUAAAAUGUUGGGAGAUUUUCAGCACUAAAUGCAUAUAACUUAGCAAGGACAGAGUGAUUUCUGAUUUUAUUAUAACAAAUAUAAAUUUAUGACUUGGUAUUUAUUGGUACCAAGCACACAUACAUUAAUUUAUUAUGUGUAUUACACCCCCGAUUUUCACAAGCAACUCUGUAUAGAGAGAAGAACUCUCGGUCACAUCCUACAGAUGAGGAAACUGAGGCCCAGGGAGGCUAAGUCCAGGUUAAGGUUAAGCUCAAGUUCCCAUGGAGUCAGGACUGGGAAUCUCAGCCGGAUGUGACUGGCUCCAAACGUCAUUCUCUUUGUGCUGCACUGGCCAGAUUGGCUUCUCUCAGCUCCCCAGCCAGUGUGGACCGGAAGCGAGUUCAGCUGGGCACGGCUGAGGAGGGUGGGUUGGGCUGGAACCCCGCCCGCCCAUCCACCCCAGCCACGAGGACUCCAUCGGGCAACUGGGGUGGGUUAGCCUGGUCUUAUACUCAGCAUGCCAGGGCUGUAGAAGUUCACGUGCCCACAACCAUGUGACCUUCCCAGGCAAGCGGGAUCCAGUUACAUCGCAGCAGUGGCCCCAAGGAACAAACACAGCUUGUGUCUUCCUCCAAGGGCUUAUUUCCUUUGUCUUGUGAGCAUUGAAAAAUGAAAGGAAUGAUAAGGAUUUGAUGGGGGGGUGCCCUGGAAAAUUCUGCAGAACUUGGGUAACUCAUCCAGAGGAAAGCAAGGGGGAGUUUUCCAACCAAAUCCAAAGGCAGAGAAACCCAACACGAAGGCCUGAGCCCUGUGAGGUCUCCUGGAUUCCUAGGUUCUCUUUAGAAGGCACAGAGGCCCCAGGCCUGGGGCGGAAGUCCCAUAACCCAGUACUGCCACCAGGCUCCUGUGGACAGACCACGAAAUCUCUCCAGGGCUCAGCUUCCUUGGCUACUCUGCAUCAGUAAUGCCAACUCCCAGGCUCUGGGUUGUUACAAAGAAAUGAGAAACUGUGUGUAGACAGUGGUUCUGCUGGGGGGAUUAACACCCUUGGGGACAUAUGGCAACGUCUGGAAACUUUUUUAGUUGUCACACUGGGAAAAGCAACUGGUGAGUGAAGACCGAGGACACUGCCACACACCACACAGUGCCCAGGACACCCUGCCAAAGAAUGGCCCUCUCCAAAGACCCAGGGUGCUGUGGCUGAGCAAGUGCUGGUGUAGAGUCUCAAAUGUUUAGUUCACAUGCUGAUGUUGGUUUUACUGUUCCAUUGGCGCGCAUGUGGGAAGGGGGACAGGAGAACAGGGUGGCCCAGGAAGAAGGCAGAGCUUGCAUGCCAGCUGCCCCUGGAGACAGAUCUGCUGUCCUCCUUCAGACAAUGUUCACAACCCCUGCCCUCAGGAAGUGUUUGGUCCAGAAGGAGAGACAGCCAGCAGACGAAGCAAGCACUUAAAGAAUACUGGUUCCAAAUAUCCACCAAGAGUGAUGAACGGAGGAUGGUGAUUCAAAAGGAGUGAGGUUUGGACACAGAGGAGUCUUGACAUUAUGCUGAGUGGGAGAAGCCAUCGCUGUGUGACUGCAUUGUUACCAAAAGAGCAGGCAGAUCCUCAGACUGAAAGUAGCUGGUGGUUCCCUGAGCUGAAAGAGUUGAGGAAAAAGGCAGAGAGACCGCUAGUGGCUAUAGAAUUUCCUUCUGGGCCAAUGAGAAUGGUAGUGCUGGCUGCCCAGCUCAAUAAUAUACUGCAUGCCAUGGGACUGCACGCUUUAAUGUGUGAACUGGGAGCUACAUGAAUGAAAGCUUAAUAAAGCCAUUAUAAAUAACAAUAAUACUGAUGAAUGGCUAUACUGAUGAAUGAAAUAAGCAACCAGCAGGGCCAUUGUGCUCAGGGGGGAUACAGAUGGCAGGUGACAUCUAAGGAAGAGACAGAGACUAAGUUCUGGUGCAGGGGACAACAUGAUGUGCAGAGUCCCCAGGGCAUGAGCCCGAUGUGUGGUCCUACAAGGGAUCAGCUGCAUGCACCGUGGAGUGGGAGCUGCAGAGAAAGGUGCAGAGGGCUGACUGGGCAGUGACCUUAGGGACC
ensembl:lncRNA